CCUACGGGGGGCUGCAGUGGGGAAUAUUGGACAAUGGGGGGAACCCUGAUCCAGCCAUGCCGCGUGUGUGAAGAAGGCCCUCGGGUUGUAAAGCACUUUCAGUGAGGAAGAACGCCUGGUGGUUAAUACCCAUCAGGAAAGACAUCACUCACAGAAGAAGCACCGGCUAACUCCGUGCCAGCAGCCGCGGUAAUACGGAGGGUGCGAGCGUUAAUCGGAAUUACUGGGCGUAAAGCGCGCGUAGGUGGCUUGAUAAGCCGGUUGUGAAAGCCCCGGGCUCAACCUGGGAACGGCAUCCGGAACUGUCAAGCUAGAGUGCAGGCGAGGAAGGUAGAAUUCCCGGUGUAGCGGUGAAAUGCGUAGAGAUCGGGAGGAAUACCAGUGGCGAAGGCGGCCUUCUGGACUGACACUGACACUGAGGUGCGAAAGCGUGGGUAGCAAACAGGAUUAGAUACCCCAGUAGUC
rnacentral:rRNA from 1 species